CACUGUUUCAGACACUUCUCAGGGCAGGGACCCUUUCUAGAAUAUCUGAUGAAGCUAGAUCGGCAUUGUAUUUUAUAUCUCAGUGGUGAAGAGUCCAGUUUCUGGACUGAGUUCUGCCUCUGGUAUGGAUGAGGAAGCUUGUAGUCUACCAGCCUUCCUGAAAAUUAACAACUAUCAGCUCCAGACCAAAAAAAUCAAAAACACCACCCUGAAGGCUGAUAGUCACGGACAGUGUGCAGGAGCUACAGAGUCUAGUAGAAAGCUGAUACUUGGAAGAAUGAGACAGUGUGAGAUCUGCACUACAGAAAUGCUAAAGGAAAUUCUUCGGGCUGAAGAGAAAUGAGACCAAAUGAAGAUAAGAAUCUUUAGGAAGGAAUGAAGAGCAUCCAUUUAUACAAUGUGCUAUGCUCCCUCUGUUUUGCAGACUGGUUAUGAACUCUGCUUUGUUUCAUCGACGGGCAGCUCCUCUCUGAGGAAGGGCAGCUUUGAAGCAUCGAGAGGGGAAAGCUUGGUCAUGUAACCAUUGUCAGUGAUGACUAUGUUUGGGAGAUGAUUAUUCUUCUGGGAAUAAUCACGACUUCAUAAAAUCUGUAUGGCCAUAGUAAGACAGCUUCAUCAAAAUGAAAACCCAUGCUGGGAGCGCCUGGGUGGUACAGUUGGUUAAGCCUCAGACUCUUGAUUCUGGCUCAGGUCAUGAUCUCAGGGUGGUGAGCUUGAGUCCCAUUGUGAGGCCCACCUCUGACCCCCUUCU